GCCGUCGUAGCUCAGCUGGUUAGAGCAUUCGGCUGAUAACCGAAAGGUCGGAGGUUCGAGUCCUCUCGGCGGCACCA
rnacentral:tRNA from 1 species